rnacentral:rRNA from 1 species
CUUAACGGUAAAAGGGCCUUCGAAACUGGAUUUCUUGAGUUCGGAAGAGGUUGGUGGAAUUCGUGGUGUAGCGGUGAAAUGCAUAGAUAUCACGAAGAACACCGGUGGCGAAGGCGGCCAACUGGUCCGAUACUGACGCUGAGACACGAGAGCGUGGGGAGCGAACAGGAUUAGAUACCCUGGUAGUCCACGCUGUAAGCGAUGCAUGCUAGUUGUUGUCCCUUCGGGGGCAGUGACGCAGUUAACGCAGUAAGCAUGCCACCUGGGGAGUACGUUCGCAAGAAUGAAACUCAAAGGAAUUGACGGGGGCCCGCACAAGCGGUGGAGCAUGUGGCUUAAUUCGAUGCAACGCGAAGAACCUUACCUAGGCUAAAUCUGCGGUGACCGCUCCUGAAAGGGGGCUUCCCUUCGGGGCAC